UACGUAGGGGGCGAGCGUUGUCCGGAUUUAUUGGGCGUAAAGAGCUCGUAGGCGGUCUGUCACGUCGGCUGUGAAAUCCCGAGGCUCAACCUCGGGUCUGCAGUCGAUACGGGCAAACUAGAGUAUUGCAGGGGAGACUGGAAUUCCUGGUGUAGCGGUGAAAUGCGCAGAUAUCAGGAGGAACACCGGUGGCGAAGGCGGGUCUCUGGGCAAUAACUGACGCUGAGGAGCGAAAGCGUGGGGAGCGAACAGG
rnacentral:rRNA from 1 species